UGGGGGAUAUUGCACAAUGGGGGGAACCCUGAUGCAGCGACGCCGCGUGGGUGAAGGAGCGUUUCGGCGCGUAAAGCCCUAUCGGCAGGGAAGAAGAUGACGGUACCUGACCAAGAAGCCCCGGCUAACUACGUGCCAGCAGCCGCGGUAAUACGUAGGGGGCAAGCGUUAUCCGGAUUUACUGGGUGUAAAGGGGGCGCAGACGGCAAUGCAAGCCAGGAGUGAAAGCCCGGGGCCCAACCCCGGGACUGCUCUUGGAACUGCAUGGCUGGAGUACAGGAGGGGCAGGCGGAAUUCCUAGUG
rnacentral:rRNA from 1 species